UACGUAGGGUGCAAGCGUUAAUCGGAAUUACUGGGCGUAAAGUGUGCGCAGGCGGUUUUGUAAGUUUGUCGUGAAAUCCCCGGGCUUAACCUGGGAAUUGCGAUGAAGACUGCAAGGCUAGAAUCUGGCAGAGGGGGGUAGAAUUCCACGUGUAGCAGUGAAAUGCGUAGAGAUGUGGAGGAACACCGAUGGCGAAGGCAGCCCCCUGGGUCAAGAUUGACGCUCAUGCACGAAAGCGUGGGGAGCAAACAGG
rnacentral:rRNA from 1 species